rnacentral:rRNA from 1 species
GACGAACGCUGGCGGCGUGCUUAACACAUGCAAGUCGAACGGAAGGGCCCUGCUUUUGUGGGGUGCUCGAGUGGCGAACGGGUGAGUAACACGUGAGUAACCUGCCCUUGACUUUGAGAUAACUUCAGGAAACUGGGGCUAAUACCGGAUAGGAGCUCCUGCUGCAUGGUGGGGGUUGGAAAGUUUCGGCGGUUGGGGAUGGACUCGCGGCUUAUCAGCUUGUUGGUGGGGUAGUGGCUUACCAAGGCUUUGACGGGUAGCCGGCCUGAGAGGGUGACCGGCCACAUUGGGACUGAGAUACGGCCCAGACUCCUACGGGAGGCAGCAGUGGGGAAUAUUGCACAAUGGGCGGAAGCCUGAUGCAGCAACGCCGCGUGCGGGAUGACGGCCUUCGGGUUGUAAACCGCUUUCGCCUGUGACGAAGCGUGAGUGACGGUAAUGGGUAAAGAAGCACCGGCUAACUACGUG